GGAGGGAGACCGCGAGGGUUCGGCGGCUGCGGAGGCACUGGCCAUUGGCCUGCACCGCCGCGCUCCUGGCCUGGCCCUGCGCCCGGGCCCGCCCGUCCCGCUUCCCCAGCCAGGUGAACAAGCUGCCAGUCUGUGGUCAUCUGCAGAGGGACGCUUUACUGGACAGGUCCUACAAGAAGCCAGGGACUCCUGGAUUGAUGUCUGGAGCUGUGCAGUGCCACCGUAGCAGAAGGGGACAUACCAGCCUGGAUUAGGCACUAAGGGACACUGAGAGCUGGGGGCGGGGUGAAGGAUUCCCCCUGCUCUUGCCUGCUCAGGGGCAGCAGGAGCUGGGGCCGCAGGAUGUUGGACUUCCUUUUUCUCCUCAUGCCUAGGAGCUUCCUUGUGGAGCCCAGCAUCCUCCUCCCAGAGACCUUGGACUCAGAUGUUAUCAGAUGUCCACCCCCAGAACUCCCUUCCUCUCAUCUCCAGGGACUGUCGCUGGCCUACAGCCCAACCAAUGAGCUUAAAUCGAUCUCUGUGAUGAGCCCCAAUUACUGGUCUCAGGACCCUGCCUCAGCAUGGGUCUGGGGUUCCAGGAGAAAGAAGAUAGGACAGUCAUACACCAGCCUUUUCCCUCAGGUAUCCUUGGGACUUUUUCCUACUUUCC
rnacentral:lncRNA from 1 species